rnacentral:rRNA from 1 species
GACGAACGCUGGCGGCGUGCCUAAUACAUGCGAGUCGAACGGAAAGGCCCUGCUUUUGUGGGGUGCUCGAGUGGCGAACGGGUGAGUAACACGUGAGUAACCUGUCCUUGACUUUGGGAUAACUUCAGGAAACUGGGGCUAAUACCGGAUAGGAGCUCCUGCUGCAUGGUGGGGGUUGGAAAGUUUCGGCGGUUGGGGAUGGACUCGCGGCUUAUCAGCUUGUUGGUGGGGUAGUGGCUUACCAAGGCUUUGACGGGUAGCCGGCCUGAGAGGGUGACCGGCCACAUUGGGACUGAGAUACGGCCCAGACUCCUACGGGAGGCAGCAGUGGGGAAUAUUGCACAAUAGGCGGAAGCCUGAUGCAGCAACGCCGCGUGCGGGAUGACGGCCUUCGGGUUGUAAACCGCUCUCGACUGUGACGAAGCGUGAGUGACGGUAAUGGGUAAAAAAGCACCGGCUAACUACGUG